rnacentral:rRNA from 1 species
GUAGUCUGCAACUCGACUACAUGAAGCUGGAAUCGCUAGUAAUCGCGAAUCAGAAUGUCGCGGUGAAUACGUUCCCGGGUCUUGUACACACCGCCCGUCACACCAUGGGAGUCAGUAACGCCCGAAGUCAGUGACCCAACCGAACAGGAGGGAGCUGCCGAAGGUGGGACCGAUAACUGGGGUGAAGUCGUAACAAGGUAAC